rnacentral:lncRNA from 1 species
GGGCAAACGUUUAGGGUGGGAGCGGUGAUCAUCGGCCUGAGGCCUCUGCAAUCGACGAGACUCCUUGUGGUCUUGUCUUCGAGAGUUCGGCGAGGCCGGCAGGCCGCGGUGCCAUGAACUUGCUGCCUCCAAAGCGGGAGCGGCCCAACUCUGCCUCUUUCGGGUUGAAUUCUCGUUUCCUUCAGCGGUGUUUUGGUGGGUUUUUCGCAUCGUGUACAUUUGUGUGGUCGGCGUCUAGAAGACCUCUCCUCUCUCCUCGGAAGCAGGUUUUGCCUCUCUUUCACUAUGUUUGUUCGUAUGGAUGGAGGGAUUAUUUAUAAUGUAAAAUUUUAUUGUGCUUCGUUCCAUAUAGAUUGAAGCAUCGAUGACAUUGGAUGUAUGGAGAUAAUGCGAAGAGGUCAGACUAAAAAGCUUUAUAGUACGUUUUUUUCUUUGAGAUCAAAAGCUUAUACGUACUAGUACUUCUUUCAGAACUACUGGAGUAGUACUAUGUUUUUUUUUGUCUUUUUUAGCGAAGGAAUAGUUUUUUUUAAAUAAGGAAACACUGUGUAAGUGCGUAAGGCACCGCGACUGCGAGGGGCUGACUAACGCAAAAAUCAGGCCCAUAUAGCUGAGUCGAUUUCGACACAAACCUCGAGACGAGACUAUUUCACAAAAUAAACUCGGCGCGAAAGUAUUUCGCUCAUCUAACCCUUUUUCUUAGUGCCUGACGUAACCGCGCUAAGCUCUGAAUCUUCGCGCCCCUGAUAGUUGGGUGCUAUACUGCAGGUUUCGCGCCCGAGUGCUGGGCGCUGUGGUAUUAGGUAACGGAGCAGCAGGUGCCCAUGACUUGCCUUAUGUAUGCAUGCAUCUCCAUUUAGGCUCAAACAUUAACGUGCAGUUCCAGCUCACGAACUAGGCAGGUAACUUAGUAGAUACAUGCGCUGGAGUUUAGUGAGUUGAUUAACGAGAUGUGGCAAAUGCUAAUACUGUCAGCUAAGCAUAGCAUGCAUGGGCUAUCUGGACUCGAUGCAAUAUAUAUUUGGAAGUCAAUACCAAGGUGCUUAAGUGACAUUAUCGUGCAGACCAAAGCAGGUACCUCAAUCAAUCCUAAAGAAAUCAGUAGUUUACAAAGCUCACGGCACCACCGAAACAUGCGCUGCUUCUUCCCAUAGACCCAUAAUUCUUCUUACCACAAAUUAAACCCCUGACUGCUCGUGCUUAUAUAAGCCA